GAGAGUAUAGCUCAGUGGUAGAGCCUAUGCUUAGUAUGCAUAGGACCUAGGUUCAAUCCCAGGUACUACCA
rfam:Mesocricetus auratus contig106675, whole genome shotgun sequence.